rnacentral:lncRNA from 1 species
CUUCCCGGAGGAAGCGUGCCAUGCCGAGAAGUGCCCAGAGGGAUGGGGCUCCCUGGGAGGGGUUUUAUUUGAUUCACUUUGGAAGAGUGCCUGAAGCAUGUGGUGUGUUUUGGCUCUUCGGGCAUUUGCUGCACUCUGGUCACUAUGUGGUGAGGUGCUUAUAACUUCAUCAGAUGCUUGGAGGAUGAUGGACUUCUGGAGCCAGCACUCAAGCAGCAUUUGGAAAGACUCCUUCCUUCCUUCCUGAGCCAUCUGGGUGAUGAGCAGCUAGAAAAGCCACGCCAUGGGGAUGCGGUGCUUCGGUCUCACUUAGGAACUGCUCACAGCCAACCAUCAUCGGACUGAGCACGGGGACCACAAUGGAGGAGUCAGAGAAAGGACCAAAGGAGCUGAAGGGGUUUGCAGCCCCAUAGAAAGAACAAUAUCAACCAACCAGCGCCCACAGGGUCUAAAUCACCAACCAAAGAGUACACAUGGAGGGACUCAUGGCUCCAGCCACAUAUGUAGCAGAGGAUGGCCUUGUUGGGCAUCAAUGGGAGGAGCGGCCCUUGGUCCUGUGAAGACUGGAUGUCCCAGUGUAGGGGGAAUGUAAGGGUGAGGAGGUCGGAGUGGGCACACUCUCACAGAAGCAGAAGGAGGGGGAAUGAGCUAGGAGGUUUCUGGGGGGGGGGGCAGAAAUUGGGAAAUUUGAAAUGUAAAUAAAGACAAUAUCCAAUAAAAGAAAACUCAAAAGAAAGAAGAAAGGAAGGAAGGAAGGGAGAGAGAGAGAGAGAGAGAGAGAGAGAGAGAGAGAGAGAGAGAAAGAAAGAAAGAAAGAAAGAAAGAAAGAAAGAAAGAAAGAAAGAAAGAAAGAAAGAAAGAAACUGGUGUCAUGAUUACCUUUCCAAGCUCUAUUAGCCUCUGAUGAUAAAAAUGAUAAAACAAUUUAAAAACAAUGCAGGGAAAAAAGGUGGGCAGCUGGAGAAAAGCAUCCGGAGUGUAAGGGGUGACUUGUUGCUUUGCUUGCUUUGAUUUCUGGUUUUCCUUGUGUGACGUUCCUGCCUCCUCACCCUGGAGGUUCCUUCCCGACAAAGGUAGAUAGCGUGUUCUCUGGGUGGACUGGGUGCCCUUACCUCCUGCCACUUUCUUAGUCACAGGGUAGAAAAUGACAGCCAUUCUAUACCUUUUGUGUUUCCUGGUACAAAUUCUGGGAGAGUUUUUUCUGGAUUCUAAAACACAUCAGUAUUUAUAUAAUAUAUAUAAGAGGCCUGGGUUGGGGUGAGGGGGCUGGAGAGAUGGCUCAGAGGUUAAGAGUGCUUGGCUGCUCUUCCAAAAGUCCUGUGUUCAAUUCCCAGAAACCACAUGGUGGUUCACAAUAAUCUGCAAUGAGAUCUGGUGCCCUUUUCUGGUGUCCAGUCAUACAUGCAAGCAGAACAAUGUAUACAUAAUAAACAAAUAAAUCUUUAAAAAGAAAAAGAAGAGUGACUGGGAUGCUGAGGUUAUUUUAUUUUAUUUUAUACAAUUUUGUUUGCUUUUCAUAUAAAUGAGGUUACUAAGAUCCUCUCUCUGGAUUACAGUUGCUUUUCCCCACUCUGUAACUAUGGAGACCUAGAUGUAGUGCACUUAGUUUGUCUUUUUGGAUUCUCCCUCUGAACUUUGCUUUCUGGCAAUUCUGAAGUUGCUCUUGACAGUUAAACUAAAUUCUUCUUUCUUCUUCUUCUUCUCCUUCUCCUUCUCCUUCUCCUUCUCCUUCUCCUUCUCCUUCUCCUUCUCCUUCUCCUUCUCCUUCUCCUUCUCCUUUCUCCUUCUUCUUCUUCUUCACAGGGGAAUAAAACCAAGCACAGCCUUUGGGAUAAUAAUAGUGGGCUUUUGUUCUCCUGUUGAAAGCUUAUGGGAUUGGCUGAUGAGUCACCCUGCUCAGAUUCACAGACAAAAGCUCUUCUGAUUGGCUGUCAGUGGAUCAGGUUCCCACCUCACCUUAUCUCUUUCACACCCCUGUAGGCUGACAAUGGGACUGGGUGUAGGACCUUGUCAGCUCAGCCAGAGAUAGAGUGGCUCAAAUGCAGUGUUAGCGUUUCUCCUUUAACAUCCAUAAACAAGAUAGAAACAACAUUUUCAAGGACCUAAAGGGAGGCAACAAACAUGAGGGGGUGUUUUAUGGAGAUGGGAACAGGGUGACUCUAGGAAGCUCACAUGCACCCUAAAGAACCCAAAGAACUCCUCCAGAGCUACCUCAGUUGAAGAUGGUACUGCAAACAGGACUUCAUGAGUCUUCAGUGUGACUUGAUGCAUCUAAGAACAGAGUUAUGCUAAGAUAAAGGCUGAAGAAAUGGUUGGCUGGGCAUGGUGGCACACACCUUUAGUCCUAGCACUAGGGAGAUCUCUGUGAGUUUGAAGCUACCCUGGUCUACAGAUCAAGUUCUAAGACAGCCAGGACUACAGAUAAAGAAACCAGUCUUGAAAAACAAAACGAAACGAAACAAAACAAAACAAAACAAAACAAAACAAAACAGGAAAUGACCAGGAAAAAUCUUUACUAGUUUCCACAUUUGCUAACUGAAAGUAUAGUCUCUAUAGACAGCAUAUCUGAAAAAAUGUACCCUACCUUCUCACAUAGGAAUGGAGCUACCUGAGACCCAUUGGGCUGAAGGAUUUAUUUAAUGGCACUUAGCAACCUUAUUAACAGGACUGCAAUUGAAACUAGAUCUUCUGGGUCCCAGUUGUACCAGCAAAAAUGCCUGAGAUAUGAUUCAAACCCUGAAUGUAGUAUCUACCAGGCCCUUCAAACUUUGUGAUCUAACAGUGGGCAGUAAAUAAUCUAACCUUGCUUGCCCCCUGCGGUGCACUAAGAAUAAUGAAUGUCAAGGUAGUCUUGCCAGAACUUACAGAAGAGGUUAUUCUGUAUCUCUUCACCUAACCAGAGUUUGACAUCAUCUGUCUGAGAAGCAAACACUACUCUGUAAAUAAAAUAAUCACAAUC